AUGGAGGGGGAGGACGGCGGCGGCGGCGUGGACUGGGACAGCCUGGCCGAGGCGGCGUCGGGGGCCGUCGGCGCGCUCGUCAGCACCACCGUGCUCUACCCGCUCGACACCUGCAAGACCAAGUUCCAGGCCGACGUCCAGACGGACCAGGGCGCGCACAAGUACAGGAACCUUUCAGAUGUCUUUUGGGAAGCAAUUAAGAAAAAGCAAUUUUUGUCCCUAUAUCAGGGCCUUAAGACGAAGAAUAUCCAGUCGUUCAUUUCGCAAUUCGUUUACUUUUACGGCUAUAGCUAUUUCAAAAGACUCUACCUGGAGAAGAGUGGAGCCAAGUCUAUUGGAACAAAAGCCAACUUGUUGAUUGCAGCUGCCGCUGGUGCUUGCACAGUUGUUGUGACACAGCCAUUAGAUACGGCAUCUUCUAGAAUGCAAACAAGUGCUUUCGGAAAGUCCAAAGGGCUGCGAGCAACUCUCGCAGAAGGUACUUGGCUUGAGGCAUUCGAUGGUUUGGGCAUUUCCCUUAUGUUAACAUGCAAUCCUUCAAUUCAGUACACCGUGUUUGACCAGCUUAAGCAGAAGCUAAUUCUGAGGCAGACGCGUAGAAAUGCAGAAUCAGCAGGCGAUUCUUCCCCAGUUGCUCUUUCUGCUUUCUCGGCAUUUCUCCUUGGUGCCAUCUCAAAAAGUGUUGCAACAAUCUUGACUUACCCAUUAAUCAGGUGCAAGGUCAUGAUUCAGGCUGCAGACCCCGAUGAGGACGACGAGGACGAAUCUGAAAAGCCAGGCAAUUCAAGGCCUCCCAAAACAAUGUUGGGCGCCAUGCAUGCGAUGUGGAACAAGGAAGGCAUCCCAGGCUUCUUCAAAGGAUUACAUGCUCAGAUACUAAAGACAGUUCUGAGUUCCGCAUUACUGCUGAUGAUAAAAGAGAAGAUUUCAAAGUUCACUUGGAUCUCGCUGCUUGCCCUGCGGCGAUACCUCUUUGUUUCUCGGAAGAGAAUCAAGAGUGCAUAA
rnacentral:rRNA from 1 species